rnacentral:rRNA from 1 species
GACGAACGCUGGCGGCGUGCCUAAUACAUGCAAGUAGGACGCAGUUGCGAACGGGUGAGUAACGCGUAGGUAACUGCCUAUUAGAGGGGGAUAACUAUUGGAAACGAUAGCUAAUACCGCAUACUAGUAGAUGGACCUGCGUUGUAUUAGCUAGUAGGUAGGGUAAUGGCCUACCUAGGCGAAGAUACAUAGCCGACCUGGGUGGGUGAUCGGCUCCGCCGGGACUGGGACACCGCCCAGACUCCGACGGGGGGCAGCAGUAGGGAAUUUUCGGCAAUUGGGGGAACCCUGACCGAGCAACGCCGCGUGAGUGAAGAAGGUUUUCGGAUCGUAAAGCUCUGUUGUUUAGGAAGCGGUACUUAACCAGAAAGGGACGGCUAACUACGUGCCAGCAGCCGCGGUAAUUC